UGUCUAUUUUAAAAACACAGUUUGGUCCUCUGGCUGCGCUUCACUGUACGUGCACUUGAAGUCAAUCAAGUUUAUUCAAAAACCGCCUUUAUUUGGAUUUGAUCAGAGUUUACAUCAAGAGGGCGCAGAGCAGAUUUAUCAAUGUGGCUUUUGUGGAAAAGCUGAACUCCAGAGCUCAGUUUUUCCACAGGCUGGUAGUUGGAACUUUACACGGU